rnacentral:rRNA from 1 species
AUUGAACGCUGGCGGCAGGCUUAACACAUGCAAGUCGAGCGGGGAAAGGUAGCUUGCUACCGGACCUAGCGGCGGACGGGUGAGUAAUGCUUAGGAAUCUGCCUAUUAGUGGGGGACAACAUCUCGAAAGGGAUGCUAAUACCGCAUACGUCCUACGGGAGAAAGCAGGGGAUCUUCGGACCUUGCGCCAAUAGAUGAGCCUAAGUCGGAUUAGCUAGUUGGUGGGGUAAAGGGCUACCGAGGCGACGAUCUGUAGCGGGUCUGAGAGGAUGAUCCGCCACACUGGGACUGAGACACGGCCCAGACUCCUACGGGAGGCAGCAGUGGGGAAUAUUGGACAAUGGGGGGAACCCUGAUCCAGCCAUGCCGCGUGUGUGAAGAAGGCCUUAUGGUUGUAAAGCACUUUAAGCGAGGAGGAGGCUACUUUAGUUAAUACCUAGAGAUAGUGGACGUUACUCGCAGAAUAAGCACCGGCUAACUCUGUGCCAGCAGCCGCCGUAA